CUUGCCUCUUCUGGUAGCAGAGUCUUAAGUACAGUAGGCCUCGGGUUAAUCAGUCCUUAAAGUCUGGCCCUAAGAUAUGACCUCAUUUGAUAAAAACUCUCAUUAAGUCUGGCUCCCAGACAAGGGCCCUCAGUCCUUGCUGUAGCUACUUCCACUUCUCAACCUGAAGGCCGGAGGGAGAAGAGAACCAGAACCCAGAAAUGAAAAGGUUGAUCCUAUUAGCCAGCUUAGCUGUUCUGCUGUUGCAAGUGGUUAAUGGAGCCUCCAAAUACCAGGUCUUAAUGAAUGCCAAAAGAAAGGACGGCUUCUCUGAAGAGAACCCUAAUAAACAAUUGAAUUUGGGCCCAAAGGCUAUUGAACAAUCAGAAAAAGACAACCUUCUCACUGAGCCCAGACAAGAUUGGGAGGAAAACCAAGACACAGAUAUCUUGAGACGUUUUAGAAAUCCGAUGCAGUUACCUGAGGAAGACAGAGAUUUCCUCUACCACUCAAGUUCCACGGAGGAUGUCAUUGAAGAACCUCAAAUGUUGAAGAGGCCUUAUUAUGAAGUGCUACAGGGGCCAGAAGAGGACAGGGACCAUAUCUACCAUGCUGAAAAUUAACAGAUCAAAUCAUGUUAACCAAGAGACCGAAGACUCAACCAAAAAACAGACCAUGCCAUUUUAUUCUCCAUGUUUUCUUUUUUUCUUUCCUAGUGGCAUUUACUAUGGCUCCUCUUUCCACAUCAAUGAUAAGAAUGAUCAUGGGACCUAAUUAAUCCCCUCUCCUUUUAAAACAUCUGUGUUUGAUCUUUUUCAGACUUUAUUGAACAUCUUUUGAUUAUUAAGGCUAAUGUAAGAAUGGCCAUCCAAAUCACAACAUAAUAUGCUAAUAAUUCCAAAGAAUGUUCCAUAUAAAAUUCAUGUAUCUUUGAUUUUAGAAUAUAGGAGAGACAGACAGACACAGAGAGAGUCAUACUGAGGUUGUGAUCUGUCUGCAUUGGUUUAAAAAGUUCCCAUUAUCAGGUUAAUCCUCUCCUGGCUUGGCUAUCUCAUCCCUCAAAGCCUAAUGCAGGGUAAGGAUCACAUUUUUUAGUGCUCCCAGACCCCUCCUAUGAUUCUAUGAUAUAUUUACUCAAGAAAAUAAACAUAUACAAAGAAGUC
rnacentral:lncRNA from 1 species